UCGCCGGCAAAGCCCCGCGCAGGCAGGCUGAGGAGUGGAGGCAGAGGGCGGGAACGAGGGACACGUUACCUUGUUCAUCCCAUUCCCCAUGGCGGCCGCGCGGUCUAGCGCCCGGGGCGCGGCGGCAGGCGCACUGAGGGCAUGUUGGAGCGGGCGGGGGAGCAGCGGGAGGGCGGGCAGGGGGCACUGCGCGCCCGCAGCGUAAACAGCAACACGGACCGGCGGCGCCCAGGCCUCUCUGUCCGCUGCGCUCCUGUCCCCCGCGGCCCCCGGGCUCCUCGGCCGCCGGACAGCGGCACAGGCGCCCCUGCGGGAAGGGGCUCGCGGCGCCCGCCCCCUCCCGGAGUGAGCCCGGCGCCUGCCACGCCGGCCCGCGGGACUUGUGGACGCGGUUCCUAGGGGCCCGGCCGGGGCGCAGGGAUUAUGUCUCCCGGGGACCGGGGUGCAGGGACAUGACUCCUGGAAGCGGGGGCCUCCAGGAUUCUGGCUACUCGGGGGCCCGGGCCCAGGGCGCACGCGCACCCCCCGCCCCGACCGCCGUCGCCCUGCGCGUUCCGAGACGGGGCGGGGCCGGUGGUCACGCAGGCGCAGCCCCUACCUAGUGAGGCGUGUCACGGGUCGCUCCCCGGGGGUCAGGGUCACCAAAACUCCGGCAGGCCUUUCCCCGGGGCCACUGGGGGCCUGUUACCGGCAGUCGCCGCCCUGCCUUGACUGCCUGGGUGAAUCAGGUGCUAAUCGAAGCCUUGGUCUUGCAGGCUCCCCUGCCUGGGUUUUCUGAGUGCUACCGAUUUAGUCCGGGUGGGGGGAUUCCUACGGCCCUGCCGCACCCACGAAGAGCGAGAAGGCUCACCCGGUGGAGAAGGUGGGCUCGGUGACUCAUCUCUGGGAUGACCUAACCUCCCGACCCUGGCGGAGCAGAUGUCCGGAUGUCAGACGUCAUACCGUGACUUUGGACGGCCAGUGUGCCCCCUUCAGAUUGUAAACUGGCUCUAGUAGUUGCAUGGAACUGUCCAGAAGGAGAAUGGGUAUCCAGUUGAGUGCUUGGGGCCUUGCCAAGCAGUGUGAGCACAAGGAUGGCCCCUUCAGUGACCUCAGCGUUUGAAAGGCCACUGAUUUCCAGCCUCCAAGCAGUCUCCUGAACAUGAACUUGGUUUCCUUCUUCCACUUAAGAGGUUUGGGGACCGCGGAUCUCAGAGCACUGACAACUGGAGAGUGUGGCGUCAGGGGAAAACAGCAGGAGGAAUGAAUACCCAGCUCAUCUGGGUGCAAGGAGACACACCAAGUACUUCCCUGGUGAUGGUCAGAAAUGUCUGCAGCCCUUGGAGAGCAAAUGCAGCCCCUGCCAGUGUUGUUUGUGCAGUGGGCCCAUAGGGAUGAGAUAUUUUAGGGACGAGAUUUCUUUCUCUGUGUGUCUCUUUCUCUCACUUGAUAACCACUCAAAUGUACACUAAUAGGUGAUGUUAGCUGGUUUCAUGUGUGUAGCUAAGUGAUUCAGACUGUUUUCACGGUCUCCAGAUCUUCCUAAAACCCUAUUCAAAGUGACUGCAUGGCCUGCAAUCUAGUGGAGAGUGGGAUAGCCCCUGAGUGUCCCUGGCCAGAGGAUCCGUCUGCAUUUACCACACCUGCAUGCCCAGCUGCCCUCUGGGAGGCGUACUUCUGCUUCUUCAAAUGCCUUUGGUGGUUGGGGGCAGCCCUGAACUGAAGACACGAGAGAACAUGGCAAGAGAAGCCCCAGCUCUGAGAAACAGCUGGGCAGGGGCAGCUCCCCUUAGAGAGACUGAUCCGCACCUGCGGAAUGUUACUGUAGAGUUCUUUCCUACUGAAGAGCUUCAUGUUGGUUAGUUUUGUUUGUUUUUUUCCCCCUUUUAUGUGAAACAGAAAUUGAACUAGAUCUGAAGACAUUAAAAAGUGUCUGGGUAGGGGGCUGGAUGGAGAAGGGGGUUUCCUCAGAGGAUGGAAUGUCCCAAGAGAAAUUUCACUUGUCGUGAGAGGGGAAGUCCAUUUCAUAUGACGUAGUGGUGUCAUUGUUCAACACUCUGUUGGGCAAUUUGUUAAUAUUUAUCAUUAUUUUGAUUUGUCAUUCAUCAUUAAAACCCUGUGAAUUACAGAAAGACCAUUAUACAUAAAGUGCUACUCAGGCUAAACAAUAGAUGAGGAUCAUUUUCUUUCUUAUACACGACGGGGCGUUUGUGUUUUCUCACUGACCAUCUCUUGGUCUGCAGGAGACCACCUGCCUCCACCCAGACAAGAGUUUCACUCAGAGCUGCGAAUUGCUGCUCAAAGACUGGCACCUUUCCAGUGCUUGUUGGCCUGCACUUUUUACCAUCUCUGUCAUACCUGUGUCCUCUCUAUGCAGGGCUUCAACUCCAGAUCUGCAUAGACAGCCACUAGCACAGGAGCAAGUGCUGCAAGGAGGAUCAAGCCACGGUAGCACGAGGUGUAUUCAGUUCACAGGAAGUUAGGGUGUGUUUCUCUUUCACCUCUCAUACAUCCAGUAACCCCUGAAAGAGGGCAGGAAGGUCUGAGGCAAUGCUCGCCCUGAUUCACCAACACACAACUUGCAUACUGUACAGACUAGAGCAAUGUCUCAAUCUAAAAACAUUUAUAUUUGGCUUUAUAAUGGCAUCAGUUUCUCCCCAUUCUGCUUCAAAAUACAAGGGAGUCCUUACUUUACGUCUCUUGUAAUUAAAGGGUCCACGAUGGUGCUUACCCUAUCAAAGGCACAGUUUGUCUUCAAGGUGAUGUGAGAUCUGUCUCUAAACAUAGAAAACUUUGUGACUUUUAAAUAGCAGUCUCCUCUCCUGCUUGUCGAGGCUUUGUAAGGCAGCCCGAGGGCAAGUGCAGUGGCUGCUUAGAGAGAGAGAUAAUUGAUAUAUAAGACAGUGUGGUAUGUGGACGUCUUUCCUCACUGCAGUGCUUCUAAAAAUGUGUAUAAUUUCUUGAAGUAUAGUCAUUUACAAUGUUGUGUUGGUUUCAUGUGUAUAGCUAAGUGAUUCAGUUAUAUAUAUUACACAUUUUCAGAUUAUUUUUCAUUAUAGGUUAUUGCAAGAUAUUGAAUAUAACAAAAAAAUGUACAAUUUAAGGGGAACUUUGCUUUUAAAAUCUCACUAUGUUCGUUGCAGUCGUAACAACCAAGCAAACGGGGCAGGAAGCUCUCUGCUUUGUGGUUAUUUUAUUCAAGCCAUGUAUGAAGUUUCUUUUUGGUAUAAAGGUAUGUGUGUGGUUUUUUUCCUUGAGUAACAGUAACUCUAGGACUUCAGAGUCGGUGUAAGUGUUGAUUCUGAUCUCCAGAGUUACAUAUCUGGCUAUGACAGGGCUGCAGAGGUAAAAUGUCUGCUGUGUGGUAGAGGCAGAACUACCUUGAAACAGACCGUGCUCCCUUCUGGUUGUUAAGUGUAAAGUUUCACUGAGUCAAGAUAAUAACCCCUUAGCCCUCUUUACCUAUUUCCUAAAAAAAUAUAUGGUUUUAGUUUGUA